GACGAACGCUGGCGGCGUGCUUAACACAUGCAAGUCGUACGGUAAGGCCCUUUCGGGGGUACACGAGUGGCGAACGGGUGAGUAACACGUGAGUAACCUGCCCACAACUUUGGGAUAACGCUAGGAAACUGGUGCUAAUACUGGAUAUGUGCUCCUGCUGCAUGGUGGGGGUUGGAAAGCUCCGGCGGUUGUGGAUGGACUCGCGGCCUAUCAGCUUGUUGGUGGGGUAGUGGCCUCCCAAGGCGGCGACGGGUAGCCGGCCUGAGAGGGUGACCGGCCACAUUGGGACUGAGAUACGGCCCAGACUCCUACGGGAGGCAGCAGUGGGGAAUAUUGCACAAUGGGCGCGAGCCUGAUGCAGCAACGCCGCGUGCGGGAUGACGGCCUUCGGGUUGUAAACCGCUUUCAGCAGGGACGAAGCUUUUUGUGACGGUACCUGCAGAAGAAGCACCGGCUAACUACGUG
rnacentral:rRNA from 1 species